rnacentral:rRNA from 1 species
CCUACGGGUGGCAGCAGUGGGGAAUAUUGGACAAUGGGGGGAACCCUGAUCCAGCCAUGCCGCGUGUGUGAAGAAGGCCCUCGGGUUGUAAAGCACUUUCAGUGAGGAAGAACGCCUGGUGGUUAAUACCCAUCAGGAAAGACAUCACUCACAGAAGAAGCACCGGCUAACUCCGUGUCAGCAGCCGCGGUAAUACGGAGGGUGCGAGCGUUAAUCGGAAUUACUGGGCGUAAAGCGCGCGUAGGUGGCUUGAUAAGCCGGUUGUGAAAGCCCCGGGCUCAACCUGGGAACGGCAUCCGGAACUGUCAAGCUAGAGUGCAGGAGAGGAAGGUAGAAUUCCCGGUGUAGCGGUGAAAUGCGUAGAGAUCGGGAGGAAUACCAGUGGCGAAGGCGGCCUUCUGGACUGACACUGACACUGAGGUGCGAAAGCGUGGGUAGCAAACAGGAUUAGAUACCCUAGUAGUC